rnacentral:lncRNA from 1 species
GCCGCACAUGCACCUGAUCUCUGUUGGUAUUCACACAGAGAUACCUGAUCGGAGCAUUGAGAUCAUCGAUGUACUAGCACCUUGCAAAUCUUGCUCCUCAGCUUUGGACUUGCAUCUCUUCUUCUAGAUCUUGAAGAAGGAGAUCGCUACGCGAACUCUUUCACGCAGAUCCGAUGGGAUCGGAACAAGAUCAUCAAGAAGGGAAGAAAAACUUUUCUUCUUCUCUUCUCUUUCUUUUUCUCUCUUAGGACU